UGGUGGCGAUAGCGAAGGGGUUCCACACGUUCCCAUCCCGAACACGACCGUUAAGCCCUCAGCGUCGAUGGUACUUGGACCGCAGGGUCCUGGGAGAGUAGAACGCCGCC
rnacentral:rRNA from 1 species